CAAUAUAAGCGCCAUUUGAGUAUCCUUACGGGCUUUUCAAAUUGGCAUCUUUAAACUCUAUUAAAGGAGAACGUUAGUGGCCCGUAUCGCUGGCAUUAACAUCCCCGAU
rfam:Rheinheimera nanhaiensis E407-8 DNA, contig: CTG038.